rnacentral:rRNA from 1 species
UAAUAGUGUAUAUUAAAGUUGUUGCAGUUAAAAAGCUCGUAGUUGAAUGUUGGUGUCGAACGAGCGGUCAGCUUCGGCUGUACUGCUCUCUCGACUCCUUCCUUCUGUGGACUACGUCGCACUUUACUGUGUGGCGCUAGGACGCAGAUCGUUUACUGUGAAAAAAUUAGAGUGUUCAAAGCAGGCCGUACGCUUGAAUACAUUAGCAUGGAAUAAUGGAAUAGGACGUCGGGCCUAUUUUGUUGGUUCUAGGACCGUCGUAAUGAUUAAUAGGGACAGUUGGGGCCGUUUAUAUUCCGUAGUCAGAGGUGAAAUUCUUGGAUUUACGGAAGAUAAACUACUGCGAAAGCAUUCGGCAAGGAUGUUUNCAUUGA